GCUUUUGUGCUAAGGUAGCAUAAUAAUUUGUCUUUUAAUUAAAGACUAGAACAAAAGGUUUAACAUCUCAAUUAAUAUUUUUUAAAAAAUUAUUUAAAUUAUUUUAAUUGUAAAAAAACAAUUUUAAAAAAGAAAGACGAUAAGACCCUAUCGAACUUUACUUUAGUUUAACUGGGGCAGUUAAUUAAUUAUUAUUUUAAAACAGUUAAAUAUACAAUUUGACCUAAUAUUAUUAAUAAAAUAAUCAAGUUACCGUAGGGAUAACAGCGUAAUAAAAUUUUUAAGUUCUUAUUUAAAAUAAAGAUUGCGACCUCGAUGUUGAUUUAAUAACCUAAUUUACGCAAUAGUUAAUUAAGGAAGUCUGUUCGACUUUUAAAAAAUUACAUGAUCUG
rnacentral:rRNA from 1 species